UUACUUGGUAGGCACCACUAAACUUAAGAAGUUGUUUUCAAGUGUCUGCUUUGGAGGCGAGGAAUGAAGACAAGUGAUAAAACAUGCCCGUUUGCUAAGUGAUUUGGGAGGUCGCAGUCUGCCUCACCGUAGAAAGUCAAUUUAAAUAGGAAUAUAUCACAUCACACUCCAACUGCAAACAACCUGAGGAAAGUCGUUUACUGGGAAGGCAGCAGUGAUGCGUUACAAAUAUAUAAUUAUUUGCACUAAUAUUUGAGCAGGUGGAAUGGAUUAGAACAUGGUCAACAUUAUGCUGCUGAUAACAUGUAUUUUUCUGUAUUAAUAUGUACUGUCCAACAUGUAUUAAAAUUGUCAAUAAUUAAUUUUAGCCAAGACGCUAAUACCAUGUUCAAGGGACAAUAUCCAACUGAACCGCUUAAAAUUUCACAGUGCGAAACUGGAAUUAAGUUUACUUUCACAUAUCACUUAAAUCACUUUAUAAGCAUUGAAAGGUCAGUAAGACAUGAAAUUAUCAGAGUGUGUUAACUGAAUAGAAGCAAAUACACAAGGUUAAGGAUCAGGGUAGAAAUCUGGAAUACCAAAGUUUAACGAAAGCUAAAUAACCCCCUUUAUAGCUUCAUCAUUUGCAAUCUUAAAAAGGCAAAUGUAUUUUAUUCCUUCCAGCAUAUCUUUAUGCUAAUAAACUAAGAGUGGAUCAAACCAAAUUGAAGGAAUUUGUCUCCACUGUUGCAUUUUCAGGUUUUGAAUUGGGAAGCCUUGCUGAUACCCUCUAUACUUAAAUAGUUGUGUAAGGCAGAAAACGAGUGGACUUUGGAACUUCCAGAGCUGGCCAGCAGGUUGGAGAGCAAGUUACAGGCAUUUAUGGAAACAUCUGAUUUUCUUCUUUGCUGGCUUCUAUCUUUGAAAUGUACCUCUGUGGCUUAGAGGCGUCCCUGCUCUUCAGUGCAUAUCCAGAG